UGAUUCUUCUCCCUGCGCCAGCGCCGCAAAGCUGAUCCUGGCCUCCUGCAGAGACGCCUGAGAGCCUUCCCUCAGUCCUGACGCGACCCCUCCCCAGGUAGCUGGGCCUAGGCAUGGUCUAGCGGGUCGCCUUCCUCCCAAGUUGCAGCCGGCGGAGCUGGGGUGCGGAAAAGCGAGGAGGCGACCCAGGAAGAUGCCGCCGUCGCCGCUGCAGGGCCCGGGGUUCCUGUAGGGCACAAGGCCUCCUUCACCAGGGAAACCAGCCCAGGCCAACAGGAGCCGCUAGCCAUGGGGAGAGUCAAAAAAGAGGAGAAGCGUUAGAUCACCGCCCCCUCGCACUCCGCCCUUAGCCCGGCCUCGGCUUUAAGUCGAGGGAUCCUGACCCUCCUCCCACAGCCGCUACCACCGCCUUUUCCCCGGUUGAGAAAACCCCUGAUUGUCGCAAGAUAAAAAUUGGGUAGGUAGGGGUGCAGCGGAAAGAGGGAGACGGGCAGGGAGAAGACAGGGGAUUUCUGCCUUCGGGUUUAACAAUGCACACGUGGGGGGCAUCAGUUGCGGGGAGCCCCGGGUUGGGUAGGAGAGAAAGAACUCCCCUUGAGGGUGAGUGGAAAGGAACUGGAGUCACCCUGGAGGAAAGGUGCUCUUUUCGGCUCUCUCCCUUCCUCCUGGCCUUGGCAGGUUGGGGGAGAGGUGAGUGCCACCAGAGAAGAAGGGAUGGAGGCAGCCGAGCUGGCAGCCCUGGGUCUCCCCAGCUUUGGACCCCUUACCCUGCCCCCAGCGGCAUCAGUGACUCAGCCAGGGGCUUGCUACUUCUAGACCCGGCCUCUCCUCCCUCCGAGGGGACCCCUCAGCCACACCGCUACAGUACCCAGGACUCCAGACCCUGCACCAAGGAAAGGCUCCAGCCGGGCAGAAAUUCACCCAUUUCAAGGCUUGGCCCACCAGGCCUUAGUAUUGCCAGGUGAGGUGGGGUUCACGUGGGGCUGAGGCCGGCCAGUCUGAGUCACCUGCUUCACUCCCCCAGCCUGGUGCGGUCACCCACCAAUUCACAGCCUCCCAGCCCCCAGCCCUAGCCUCAGCCGAGUCUCCUGGGGCUGCUUCAGUCUGGUGUUUUGGGAGGAGAAGGAGGGUUUUAUCUGGAGACUAUGGUGUUUUGACUCCUCUAGAUUAGCCUAGGAAUUGGAGUGUGAUUGUAGCGGGACAAUUGGGCAGGGGGAGUGUUCACAGCAGGGGUAGGAAAAGAGAGGGAGGGGGACUCCGUUCAGAUCCAGGAGACAGUAGAGGCGGGCUUUUAAAAGCGCAAACCGAUUGUGUCUUCCUUUGGACCUGUUGGAGACCCCUGGUAAAAUCCGUGACUGUGCCUGGCUCAGAGGUGCAAAGGAGGAGGUUUGGCGUGCGCAGGCUUCUUCCGGCCUCACUUGGUCCCGGGGUCCCUUGGUGGUGCCGGGCUGCCCCCUUCCCGCUCCCUGCCGGCAACUCAGUUCUAGGCCGCUUUCCACCUUGUGGACCCCAAGCAAUUUGUUUUAUAAAACAAAACAGCCACGAGACGCCUAUGCCUGUUCUUCACUAGCGCCAGCAGACCCGCAGCCACCGACACCCGGUGGACCUCAGCAGGGAUGCCUUGGGCAACUGCUUCUUGCUUGGUGCUUCACCACCUCUGCACCCCCAGCUCCAGUCAGCCAGCAGCCAAAGCAAAAGGGGGUUCCUCGGUUUGUUCCCUCCGAGGCUGCAAAGCCUCUCUUGCUAUUCCUACCAUUAAGAAAAAAAAAAGAGGUGAUGGGAAAGAUUUGGUCUGCACACAAAGACAUACCAGGAGAAGAAUGCACAUUUCUGUGCAAAAUGGCUCAGGCACCAAUAAUGAGACAUCACUUUGGUGCAGCCUAGAAAUAGUUAAAAAUAACCCAGUGCUAGAGGACAGAGGUGGCUUCUGCCCCCCACACCUUAUCCGGAUCCCUAAUUCCCUGCCACUUGCCAUGGUUCCAGAACACAAACUGCUUUAACCUCCAAAAGAGGGGUUCUCAGCCACCUGGCUCCCACAUACCUGCCAGUUCCCCAGGCACUCUGUGGUCCAGGGCAGCUGGACACCCCAACAGAAAACCCCUACCAAAGAAUGCUCAGGGAUGCCCACUUCUAUCUCUUCUCUGCACCCCUGACUGUCCCCAUGUCAUUUAUCUUCCACAAGAAGGCAGGGUGCAAAUGUCAAAUAAAGAAAAAUAUAGCUUC